UAUAUUCGUAAAAUCGAUAGUGUGGAGUAUCCACCAGGUCACAUUGUAAAUGCUGCCAAAUAAAUUUUGUUGCAAAAUCAAACUGUGACUAGUGUUUCACUCAACUUCUCGAUUCCACGUCAAUAACUUUUGAGGUUUUUACUGAUCUUCAAGAAAAUUAACUCGUCAAGUAUUUGAAAAGGUCCAGUGACACUAAACAUGGUUUCACUACAAGGGAUACCAGAAAAUGGGCACAUGAUUAUGCUAGAAAACUUCAGUUGAAAUGUCCUGAAAACUUUUCGACAAAUUUGACAGCUGGGAAAGACUGGCUGGCUGGAUUUUUAAACAAAGUUACUUUGACUGAGAGCCAAAAUUUUGAUUUACCCAAAUUCAGCUGUCUCACAGAUGGUGAAAAUGAACUGCUGCUCUGCUGGAAGUCAUUUAACCUUUCACAAAAGCUGCGCCAAGGAUUUCAACUAGACAAUCAGGUCGCAAAAGAAAAACGUCAAUCCUCACUGAAAAAAACAGUAAAACAACGACUUGAAGAGGAACAAAUGGCCUGUGAUGAUUGCUUUAAUGUUUAGGCUAACGAUUUCUUGUGAUAUUUUGUCCUUUUUUUAUUGUGAUUAUUUAUCGUUGAAAAUGUAUUAUAUUACUCUGUUCUUUUUUGAAAAAAAAACAAACAUUGUACUCAUUAUAGCAAAUGUGAAAGUGUUUUAACUG